GACGAACGCUGGCGGCGUGCUUAACACAUGCAAGUCGAACGGAAAGGCCCUGCUUUUGUGGGGUGCUCGAGUGGCGAACGGGUGAGUAACACGUGAGUAACCUGCCCUUGACUUUGGGAUAACUUCAGGAAACUGGGGCUAAUACCGGAUAGGAGCUCCUGCUGCAUGGUGGGGGUUGGAAAGUUUCGGCGGUUGGGGAUGGACUCGCGGCUUAUCAGCUUGUUGGUGGGGUAGUGGCUUACCAAGGCUUUGACGGGUAGCCGGCCUGGGAGGGUGACCGGCCACAUGGGGACUGAGAUACGGCCCAGACUCCUACGGGAGGCAGCAGGGGGGAAUAUGGCACAAUGGGCGGAAGCCUGAUGCAGAAACGGCGCGUGCGGGAUGACGGCCUUCGGGUUGUAAACCGCUUUCGCCUGUGACGAAGCGUGAGUGACGGUAAUGGGUAAAGAAGCACCGGCUAACUACGUG
rnacentral:rRNA from 1 species